ACUUAUCAUCACUUCUACAUUCCAUUAAAGAGAUAUCACCAUUUCCCCCACAAAAAAUGUGAAUCCCAAAUUCCUCAAUUCAUAUCACACACAAAAAAUGUGAAUCCCAAAUUCGUUAAAUCAUUUCACAAUUUAGUGAUGACACUCCAGACAUCUCCUCACAAAAAAUGUGAAUCCCAAAUUCGUCAAUUCAUUUCACAAUUUAGUGAUGACACUCAAGACAUCUCCCCACAAAAAAUAUGAAUCCCAAAUUUCUCAAUUCAUUUCACAAUUUAGUGAUGACACUCCACACAUCUCACUAGCUAGUAACCUAGUUAUCUCCCACCAAACGCCAAAACCCUAAAGCCUAACAUCUAGAGAGAGAAACUAAGACUAAACCAUACAAAAAUCAGAAAAGAGACAACUGAAAUUAGUGUUUCCCUUCUCGGAUUACAAGGAGAAGAUCAACGAUGUAAUUGUUGUAUUGCGUUCGAAUCCAGCGAUGGUUUGGGAUCGAACGAUGACGGGGCUUUGACGAGCGGAGAGACUGAACCUUUUUUUUUUUCUGAGAAAGAGAAAGAGAUCGAGCUUUUUUUUUUUUUUGAGAAAAAGAGACCAAGCGUUUUUGUUUUUGUUUUUACUUCAAAACCUCCACGUGGUUUCGUACUUUUUCACUUUAGUAUAGAGAUGUCAACAGGUCGGAUUCGGAACGGAUUUUUAAAAACCCGAACCCGAACCCGACUCCAAACCCAAGAUUUGAACCCGAACCCGAGCCCGACGGAUUUUAAAAAUCCAUAUCCAAACCCGAACCCGACCAAAAAUUUGAAACCUGAGCCCGAAUCCGAACCCGAAAAUUUGAACCAAAAAUAAUUAUUUUUUUUUUCAAUAUUUCAAAAUAUAUUAUAUUAAAUCUAAAUUUUUAAAAUACANAUAUAUAUAUAUAUAUAUAUAUAUAUAAUACAAAAUAAAUUCGGGUUCGGGUCGGGUAUAGUCAAAAUUCAUAUCUGAAUCUAUAUCCGUCGGGUUUCUAUUUUUGAUAUUUAUAUCCAAAUCCAUAUCCAUUUAGCAUCGGAUAUAUCCAUUUCAAUCGGGUUCGGGUUCGGGUUCAGAUAAAAUUUCGAGUAUCCAUACCCAUUGACAUCCCUACUUUAGUACCCUGUGGUUUAAAGUGUAUCAAGUUAGUACCUGUGGUUUCAAACUUUCUCACUUUAGCACCCUGUGGUUUAAAGUGUAUCAAGUUAGUACUCUACGGUUUCAUUUUUGUAUUAAGUUAGUACCCUGUGGUUUCAUUUUUCUCUUUUCUUAUCCAUUUCGGGGUAGUUUUUUCGUUAAAUUAGUAACAAAGUUAAAACUAAAGGGUACUAAAAUAAAUAUUCGAUAAACUUAGGUAGGGUAUCUGAAGUUUUUUUGUAUAUAAUUUAAAGAAAUAUUAAACCACAGGUGCUAAAGUGAGAAAGUACGAAACCAUAAGGUACUAAUUUGAUACACUUUAAACUAUAGAAUACUAAAGUGAGAAAAUGCGAAACCACAGGGUACUAACUUGAUACACUUUAAACUACAGAAUACUGAAAUGAAAAAGUGCGAAACCAUAGAGGGUAUUUGAAGUUUUCCUUUUGUUUUGAGAGAAAGAGACCG
rnacentral:lncRNA from 1 species